CAGUAGCGGCGAGUGAAGCGGCAAGAGCUCAGAUUUGAAAUCGUGUUUCGGCACGAGUUGUAGAGUGUAGGCGGGAGUCUCUGUGGAGCGCGGUGUCCAAGUCCCUUGGAACAGGGUGCCUGAGAGGGUGAGAGCCCCGUAGGGUGCUGCGCGAAGCUUUUGAGGCCCUGCUGACGAGUCGAGUUGUUUGGGAAUGCAGCUCCAAGCGGGUGGUAAAUUCCAUCUAAGGCUAAAUAUUGGCGAGAGACCGAUAGCGAACAAGUACUGUGAAGGAAAGAUGAAAAGCACUUUGAAAAGAGAGUGAAACAGCACGUGAAAUUGUUGAAAGGGAAGGGUAUUGGGCUCGACAUGGGGGGUGCGCACCGCUGUCUCUUGUAGGCGGCGCUCUGGGCGCCCUCUGGGCCAGCAUCGGUUCCUGCUGCGGGAGAAGGGGCUCCGGAAAGUGGCUCUUCGGAGUGUUAUAGCCGGGGCCAGAUGCCGCGUGUGGGGACCGAGGACUGCGGCUUCUGUCUCGGAUGCUGGCAUAACGGCGCAAUACCGCCCGUCUU
rnacentral:rRNA from 1 species